UACGUAGGGGGCAAGCGUUGUCCGGAAUCAUUGGGCGUAAAGCGUGCGCAGGCGGUUAUGCAAGACAGAUGUGAAAUCCCCGGGCUCAACCUGGGAACUGCAUUUGUGACUGCAUAGCUGGAGUGCGGCAGAGGGGGAUGGAAUUCCGCGUGUAGCAGUGAAAUGCGUAGAUAUGCGGAGGAACACCGAUGGCGAAGGCAAUCCCCUGGGCCUGCACUGACGCUCAUGCACGAAAGCGUGGGGAGCAAACAGG
rnacentral:rRNA from 1 species